UACGAAGGGGGCUAGCGUUGCUCGGAAUUACUGGGCGUAAAGGGAGCGUAGGCGGGUUGACAAGUUGGAGGUGAAAGCCCAGGGCUCAACCCUGGAAUAGCCUUCAAAACUGUCAGCCUUGAGUAUGGAAGAGGUAAGUGGAAUUCCGAGUGUAGAGGUGAAAUUCGUAGAUAUUCGGAGGAACACCGGUGGCGAAGGCGACUUACUGGUCCAUGACUGACGCUGAGGCUCGAAAGCGUGGGGAGCAAACAGG
rnacentral:rRNA from 1 species